CAGGGAGUGAAAGAAGCCCCCCCCAUACCUGUUCUUGGAUGGAGCGGCCUAAGAAAACUCCGUUUCCCAGCAUGCAUAGGUCUGCCACCCUUCCCCCUCCCUCCCUCCUUCCUCCGGUGGGGGGGGGUUGUUGGCGGGUGGGGGAAGUUCGGAACUUGCUGGAAGAAUAAAGCAUCUUCGCACUUCCUUCGCGGGCUCCGCGGGCUCCGCGGGUCCACCCUUUCCUCCCUGGAGGCCUUUCCUGGAAUUGGCGGCGAGAGCUGACUAGGCCGCGGCAGCUGCCACAUGCUGAGUCACUCACUCCUCGGGCUCCGUCUCGCCUCUUAAGGCCUCAGCCGAAGUGGCAGCCCGACGGGGCCUGGCGGGUUUCGGCCCCGCGGAUCCCGGGUGUUGGUGGUGAUAGUGGGAAUACCUGCCGUGAGGAAGGUCUCCUCAGCGUCCAAGCCGUCGGUGGAGUUCGCACCGCUCUGGCCGGCUCGCUUUGGAGCGGUCAGUCGUCGGGAUAGCGAGAAGGCAGCUCCAGCUUCAGAGAUUGUAACGGCCGCGCUAUAUAAAGGUGGCCCGGUUGAUAAGUCUUUGGAGAUGGAGGUGCUUGUAUGAAGUUCCUAUCGCUGAUGUGUUUUGUUUUUAGUAGAAGGCUACCGAAACGUGAAAUAUUGCUAUUAUUUUUUUCACCGACAGACAGCUAAUGCACAACUUAAAGAAAGCUUAAACAAACAAAAAGACUUCAGGAAGUCACCCAUACGAGUAGCAAGAAAGAAGAAUACUCACCAUUCUCCCUCACCUAGGUCAUUAUCAGCACCUUGAAUUGAACCCACAAGCAAACUGGCACAUGAGGGACCACAUGACAGCAUGACUAUUAGAAACUGCUUGGGCAGGAGUGCUUCCAGUCCUUUCCUGAAGACUGGAUUGAAGAAAGGCAGCACAAACUCAAAGGAGUUAGAAUACAAUUAUAUGAACUAUCCCAUACUCUUCUCUUGUGAUUUAUCUGGGAUGUCUCCACUGAAAUGAUUAUCAUCAAAAUGCAUCAGGUUCUGUAACAUGACUUGAAAAACCCAGAUGGGGAACAAACUUUUACUUUGUGACCAGCCCAGAGGAUUCUCUUUGCAUAGAGUUCUGACUCAGUAGCAAGUUAUAGAGUCGCCACUCAUACAGUCACCAACACGGAAGCAAUAGCAUUUUCUUCUGGUAAGCUCAAGAAGUAUGAAGCACCAACACAAAAAAAUCAAUAUGCAGAUGCAACAGUUAUUAAACUUUGAUCAAAUAUGACAUUGUGUUAAAAAUAUGUUUAAUUCAGAAUUUUUAUAUCUGUAACUAACACCAAAAAAUGUUGGGUGGAAAGCUGUUACCACUAUACCUUAAGGACAAGAUAAUUCCUAUAGAAACUGAUAAUAAUAGGGAUAUUGGAUUUUAUUUUCUUUUUUUUGCAUAAUUUAAGUGACAAUUUUUGUAUAUUUGAUAAUACAUUUAUAUUGCAUGCAACAAUGAAUAAAUGGAUGUGUAUUUCUUCA